GAGCCCAGAGAAGGUGGGGUCUCUUCAGCCAGGGUACCCGCAGAGGCUUCCUGAAAGAGCUGCCUUCUGAGCAGGGCCCCCCGGGCUAGGAAGACGUGCACCUGCCGAGCUGGGAAGAAGAGCGUGGCCCGGAAGAGGACCCAGCAUGGACAGAGCUCACGGGAAAUAAUGGAGCCAUGUUGCAUGACAAACUGCAAAGCGUGGUGAACGUGUGAACAAGCGUCCAGGACCCAGUGAAGCCCCGGGCUACUGGGCCAGGAGUCAGUGGGUCCCACGGUGAAGUGGCAUGUCACGAGGUGAAGGAGGGGCGCCUGCAUUCCGGCCUGUGAACCAACUCGACGACCUUUGGACCUUCUGGAGCCUCAGUUUCCCAUACUGUGAGUUGGAGUGGAAUUCCCAGGGUGCUGGAGGGUGAAAGGCAUUGAGCAUUGAAGAUGCUUUGCAGACAGCAAAGACCCUCUGUGUGAGUUACGAAUUCUCACACGGGCCCUGCGGGUACUCAGGGGGAUGCUUUUAUUUCUCCAGAACAUUCUGCAGGUGAGCUGGGGAAGCCCACUGGCCCUGGCCUCACCCCCGAGCCUGAGCCUUCGGCCUGGGAAUGGUCUGGCCUCUCCCACGUCGGCCGCCAGCCUGGCCGCGCAGGACCCUGGGCGGGAAACCAGGAACCCUCGGCCAUGCCACCCGCUAUGUGCUUCCCCAAGAAGCACUCCCUGUGGCCUAAUUUGAGAAAACAAUGGGCCUCAAUCCAUAUUAAUGACC